rnacentral:lncRNA from 1 species
UGGAUAUCGUUUGUCAAACCACCACGAAUCCUGAAACAAUUGUAAAGACGGAUGCUGCAUGACACUGUUUAACUGCUAGUGGCGGAUUAGACAAUCUCCCCAAAAGUGCUGUGAGUUGGCUUCUCCUGCGUCGGCGAACUAUGACCCCGAUGGCUCCAAAGACCCUCUCAAGUUUUACCCACACAGCCACAAAGUAAGCUUCCCUUUUCCUCUCAAAUCUAUCUGGGCACAGGACAACAUGACGUCGUAAUUUCUGUGCAAUAAUCGUAAAACCUGGCAUGGAUAAAUCUCAAGAGUGAUAUCAACCGACUGAACUAUGAGUUUUGAUAUUCAUUGUUCAGUAUGCGGGAGUUGAAGUGAUGGAAUCUCGUGCAAACUGAACUAGGGACCUAAUACAGGGAAAGUGGCAUUCAUGGGCUUCGGAAAUGGCCGUCGUAUUUGCCCCAGUGCUGACUUGACUCGCUCGGAAAUGCCCGUCUUUCUCCAUUUCAUUAGUUCACGUAAGCAUCAUCAUGUUUCCUUUUCAAACCAGAAUCUUCUGGAUUGAACGCGUAUUUAAGAGUCUCAAAAGAAUACUUUCCAUAGUCUGGCUUCGAUUCCAAACAAUUAGUAGAUCAGAGAUUGGACUGCACCACAACAGUGGAAAAUGUGAUCUCGAUUCCAAAAGGACAAUCUAUAGUAUACCCAGUUGAAACCGUGUUAAACAAUGACAAAAGAAAGCACAGCCACAGUUAUUCAUCUCAUAUACUAGAACUCGAACUUGCGAGGCCUCACUCAGUAGUUCAGUUAAAGAAGUUUGCACAGAAUUAUAGAUCGCAAACAUGCAAGCAUGCGCCUCAAUUCCUUUGCAUGUAUAGUCGUACGCAUCUGAAGAUAAGCAAAAAGAAGCCUUUGUUGAAAGAGUGACUUGUACUCAUAAUCCAAAAGCCUUUACAUUAUCAAAUUAGAAGCUUCAAUAACACAAACUCUCUUAUUACUGGUGUGUGUGUGGGGGGGGGGGAUGCACAGGCAACCUCAAUUCAAUUUACAAAUGACAAAAUAUAAGCUACAAAUCUAUCGUUUUUGGCAAGAUCUCAAACCCUGCAUUGUACAAAGGCCAAUACCCCACUCCAUGUAGAUGUCCAUUGACCCAAAGCAUCGUCCCUGCGAGAACGUGCACAAGCUACGGCUACUGCAAGAAAUAUCCAGAAAGAAAGAGGGCAAAGAAAAAUAGCAGGGAGCCGUAGAUCAAGAGACUUUUCUGUCCCGACGUCAAGGUGUUCCCGCCCAACCCGAAUUGUUGAUUUUGAGCGAAACCAGCCACCUCUACACUCUUAGGUUGGAAGUAGCCUUUGGCAGCACCGCAUGUGGGACAGAGCCAAUCUUCCGGAAGAUCACGGAAUAGUGUGCCUGCAGCCACAGGGUAUGAUGAGUCUCCCUUCGCUUCCUCGUAUACAUGUCCACACGAUCGGCACGCGUAUGCGCCGGUGUUGAGUACGGC